rnacentral:misc_RNA from 1 species
GAACGCACAUUGCGCUCCUUGGUAUUCCGGGGAGCAUGCCUGUUUGAGAAUCAGUAAAUUCAUCGACCGCGGUUGGGUUUCAUGCCUGCCGUGAUCGGAUAUGGGCCGCUUUGCGCCUGGCGCAAUGGCCUGAAAUUCAAUGUCAUGGAAUCAUUGGACACCCGUCCGGUUUCAAGCGCAUGAGAGGGUUUAUUCUCUUGAGUACGUCUUGUAUUAUCGUUCUGGUUUUUAAGGCUUUUGAUUUCGGUGAUCCAACCAUUAUUCCAGGCGGGGUCCCUUAAAGGACCCCCUCUGAACACUUGGUCUCAAAUCAGGUAGGAAAACCCGCUGAACUUAAG